GACGAACGCUGGCGGCGUGCUUAACACAUGCAAGUCGAGCGGUAAGGCCCUUUCGGGGGUACACGAGCGGCGAACGGGUGAGUAACACGUGGGUGACCUGCCCUCAGCUCUGGGAUAAGCCUGGGAAACCGGGUCUAAUACUGGAUAUGACUCCAUGACGCAUGUUGUGGGGUGGAAAGCCUUGUGCGGCUGAGGAUGGGCCCGCGGCCUAUCAGCUUGUUGGUGGGGUGANGGCCUACCAAGGCGACGACGGGUAGCCGGCCUGAGAGGGCGACCGGCCACACUGGGACUGAGACACGGCCCAGACACCUACGGGAGGCAGCAGUGGGGAAUCUUGCGCAAUGGGCGAAAGCCUGACGCAGCGACGCCGCGUGAGGGAUGACGGCCU
rnacentral:rRNA from 1 species